GUACUGCUGAAGAGUCCCAAACUAAGACGAAACGUUUGGCUGUCCAGUAC
rnacentral:hammerhead_ribozyme from 1 species